AGAUGAAGUUGUUUAAAUAUAUAUAUAAGUAGAAGAUAAGAAAAUAACUAUAAUGAAUGUUUCAUCUAGUGCCACCAUUGCUGUAACCACAGAAACAAAAGAGCUAAAGGAUGGUUAUGAUUUACCUGUAUAUGGACUAGCUAAUGGUACUUUUUACGGCAUUCAUGUACCAGCACUAAUUUGUAUAUGCUUAAGCUUGAUAUGCGUUAUAUCCGUUAUAAGCUACUCAUUUUAUCAUCAGCACAUAUCAACAUUCUUUCAUUGGACAAUAUGCGAAAGAUUUGCUGUUUAUAUGGCAAUAUGUGAUGGUCUUUUUAAUAUUUCACAUUUCUCUGACCAUUUGCAUAUAGUUCUUACAAAGGAGCUACCAACACCAAAAUAUCUUUGUGCAUUCUAUGGAUUUUUGCUGGCAGAAUUUGUCACAGCUCAGAAUUUAUUAGUCAGCAUCGUUGCAAUUAAUGUUUUUGUUUUAGUCUAUUUUCGGAAGAAACUUGACUUUGGAUGCAGGGAUUAUCGUCUUCUUGUAUUCAUUUUUGGGGCUCCUGCAUUAGGACUAACAGUAGCAGCUGGAUUAGGACAGCUAGGUCCUAAUGGAAGCUUGUAAGUAAAAACAUAGAGAAGAAUAAAUUAUCGUCGAUGCACUGUGUUCCUGUCUUUUCGAGGUCAUGCGAUUCCGUUAUUUUUUAUUUGUACUUUAAUAUGUCUUUCUUAAUCGAUUACCGAGAUAAAAACAAAAAUCGUUAAACUACGGUCGCUUUAAUUUAUAUGUUGUCUGAUUUGACAGAUUCGAUCUUAACAAAGCUUUUGACCAUUCAAACUGCUAACAUUUUGCUUUAAAACGUGAUGUAUAUGCCAUGUUUACUAAUGUUUAAAUCUCGGUGCUCUAUUUCAAUAUAUACAAAAUAUUGAACGAACAAGAUCGGAUGGGUUGAAAAGGAAAGCAUCUGCCUUGUCAAUGCAUGCACCAAAAAUUUUUAUGCAAAUACAGUCCAAAUUUACCGUUAGUGAAUAUAACACAAUCAUCCAAUUCCCAGAUCAAAUAACUAUUUAGGUAUUUUAAGAUUCAAGUCUCUUGGUUGAGUAUACCUCAUCACAAUAUUUAUCGCGGCCAUCUCUUACAGAAGAAAAGGUGAUCAUCAGAAUUUAAAAAAAAUUGUUAAAGCCUUUUUUUCCGAUAAUUCUGAUAUAUGUCGUUCUUCUUAAUAUUUUUGUUUUCUUGUUAUGAAAUUCUGGUAACCGACAUAAAGAAGGAAGAAGUUCAUCGUCAUUUAUGAUGUUUAAACAAAAUGAUAUGAGGAAGGGUUUUUUCAUUUACUAAAAUCUCAUAUUUCGUGACUGAUGUUAGGAUGUAUGUUGGAUUUUGCUAUGAAAUCCGAUUUCCUUUGUAAGAAAUUUCAAAUAAUAAUUUGUACAUGCAAACAAUAUAUUGUUAGAGAGUUUGUCUGCUUAAAUUUUGAGAUUUGUGAUGUUCCAAAAUAUCAUCAACAUUUUAAAGGGGCACUAGCUACGAAAUGUAUAAAAAAUCUAAAGUAUGAGUUUUUUGUUCAAUAAUAAUUCGCUUUAAGCAGCCAGUAUGGUUCAAUUUUCUCAAAUUAAGCGAAGAAACAUUGUUGAUGAUGAAAGUGAAUAAUUCGGUCGCAUUGAGUCCGUAUUUAUGUGAACUUCAAUUACACCCCUUAACUAGAGAUGGAUAGCCCAUGAAGUGUGCGUGUUAGGUUAUUUAAAGAAAAAGAAUGUAAACAUUGAAAUUGAAACAAAGGUAAAUCAUUUGAUUGACUGAUUCAAUCCACAAAAAUAAUUUUUGUACAGGUAAAAGGAUGAUAAAUAUAUUUUUAAUCUAUAAUAUGGAAUUAAACAGACCUUGAAAAAUUCAAUUACACGAGUUGGGUUUCUAUUUAUAUUUCUAUGUAUGUUUAUAUCGCUUAUAUGACCAUCGGAGCUCUUCGGAGGUUAACUCGAUAGUUACUUAGAUGGCUUCAAGACUAAGAAUACGAAACGAAGCUAUAUAUUAUCUAGAAUUUUGUUAUGUAGCUAGCUAAACCUCUCACUUGUAUGACAGCCGCAUCAAAUUCCUUUAUAUUGACAACGAUGCGUGAACAUAACAAAUAGACAGAAUAUGUAAAAUGUCAAAAGUAGGGCUACAGCAGUCAGUAUUGUAUUGUCAUCUUAAUCACUUAAGAAACAAACAAAUGUAACAACAUAAACAAAAAAACACAAAAAGACGUCCUUUUGUACCAUUAUCUGUCUGUUUGCCUUUAUCUUUGUUAGCCAUGGCGUUGUCAGUUUAUUUUCGACCUGAGUUUGACUGUCCCUCAGGUAUCUUUCGACCUCUUUUAAAUAUGUUUGGGCACCACGUCAAGUUUAGCUAAAUAAAAUAGAAAAAUAAGAUAAAGAAUCAAAAUUUACAAUUGACACAUUCCUUCUGUAGACUCCCGUAUGGAUUCAAAAUGCACUGGGGGAUUUUGCAACACCAUUCAAGGUACAAUUAAAUCAUUCAGAAAAUAAAAAUAUUCAUCCAAAAUGUUUUCCCUACUGCAAGGAAUAGAUCUUCGCGGACUCCUUAUUCUAACAAAUGUACAAAAAAUUUGCGAAAGCAAAUUUACAGAUCUAAUAUUGUUGGGUUGAUGUUUAGACGAGUUAUAUAUGUUUUCUCAAUUAUUUCUACCUUUAAAUAAUAUUCACUUUUUUCUUUUCAGUUGUUUCUUCGACGGUGUCAAUGGACAUGUAGCUAACUUUAUAUUUACAACCAUUUUUCUUUCUGUCAUAACAAUGACCAAUAUAAUUCUUUACAUCAUUAGCUGGUUUCGUAUCUAUAAGGAAGUAAAGGCCAUAAAAAACCCACAUAAAAGUUUGGAAGCAUCGCACAGAGCUGCGAAAACCAUGUCUCUAUUCGUUACCGCUUUUCUUGUACAGUGGUGGGCCAUGGCAACGUACGGUAUAUGGCAGUGGGAAACUGAUGUUCCACAAAUCUUGUUCCAUUUCGUGACAACGUUCUCAAAUUUAGGAGGUGUACUUAAUGGAAUAGUAUUUAUUAUUAUUGUACGAAGGAAACAUGACGGAAUGGAUUCUUCAAGUAAUACACACGAUAUCAAAGAAUCGACUACCGACAAACAGUCAACAUGCACAGAAAUUUAAAGAAACAAGUUUAAACCUUUCUCAUCUUUCACCGCUUUUAGUUAUUCUUGAAUUUUCUUAUUUUAAAUGUAAUAUCAAAUUUAUACUGCAUCGAAACAGGUGCAUUGGGUUGUUUUGAGCACUUACAUACACAUGUAACUAUGAUCAUCUUAACAGUGAUGUUUGCUUUCAGUUUCAUCAAGUAUUUUUACUGAUUCUGCCUAGAAAGCUCUAACCAUAUGUGCAGCAUUAAAACCAUACCUGUUAGUUUUGACUCCUAGUUGUGAUUGUUUCCGGUGAUCUAAAAUAAUAGUUCUGCAGUUGUAUGUCAACAAAUUAUAAAAAUAAGUUGGACUUGUAUUAAUUAUUCUUAAUUUUUCAAUGGAAAUACAGUGUUAUUAACUUUUUUUUUUCGUAAAAACUAUUAUUAUCAAACAUGAAGCUAAGAACUAAUUGUCUUCAAUCUUCAAAAAAUAUUUUUGCUAUAGCUGUACCAAAUUAUUGGACAAUAGUAUAUAUUUGAGAGAAUGAAUGAUUUGUAUCUUGUCAAACUGUCCAGCUUAUUUAAAUAAAACAGUUGACUUCUCCAUUUUUUUACGUUUUUAAUCAUUAUAUAUAUGUAUAUCUAUUGGCAUCGGGGUACUUUGAUAACUUUUUAAGUUUAGAAUUGUUUGAUUGUAAACAGAUCUACGAAUGCUCUUAAUUGUAAGGAACAACUAAUAGUAGGGGGCGCAGUGUUCAUGCAUUCCUCUAGUUACGGAG
rnacentral:lncRNA from 1 species